rnacentral:RNase_P_RNA from 1 species
AUUUUCGGGUGAUCGCGGUUUGAAUUAUUCAGGCUGAGGAAAGUCCAUGCUCGCACAGGCUGAGAUGUCUGUAGUGUUCGUGCUUAGCGAAAUCAUAAGCUAAGGUACUUAAUCUAGUAAAAUCUUUUGGUUUUUUGAUCAAAUUAUUUUUACUUUUAAGAGUAACGGCAGGAAAAAUGACUAAGGUUUCGGCUAUGUCAAAGUACCCUUGAAAGUGCCACAGUGACGAAGCAAUUUUGGAAACGAAAUUGGUGGAACGCGGUAAACCCCUCGAGCGAGCAACCCAAACAAUGGUAGGGGCGCUCUUCUAAAGGAAAUGAACGAGUAGAAGAGGCAGAUUAAUUUCUGCAGAUAGAUGAUGACCGUCGAGUGUCUUUCCCUGAGAGACAUUCGAUACAGAACAUGGCUUACAGAA